UUCAUUGAAAUCAAGUGUGAAUCAUACAACUUUGGUCCAAAUGAGAAUGGUGAUUACUUGUGCGAGCUGAGUGAUUCCGAUGGUGUUAGAGAUCCAGAUGACUUGAGGGCAAGACAAGACUUCCUUCACCGUGCAACAAAGAAUCCAUGUGGUACCGCUCAGUGUCCUCCAAACUCACGAUGUUAUUCAGAUUUUGAACACGAAACCUAUCUCUGCGUUUGCUCACCGGGAUUUACCGGAGACAAGUGUGAAUCAGAUUUGGACGAGUGCACAG